rnacentral:rRNA from 1 species
ACCCGCUGAAUUUAAGCAUAUAAGUAGGCGGUGGAAAAUGAACCAAAUGGGAUUCCUUUAGUAAUUGCGAAUGAACAAGGAACUGCUCAGCUUGAAAAUUGGGGCCUUCGGCCUUGAAUUGUAAUUUUGAAAUGUAUUGCCAAUGGAGGCGCAGGUGCAAGCCUAUUGAAAGAAAGCGUCAAUGAGGGUGAGAUUCCUUUUUGUCAUUUGCAGUCCUCCGUGCACGGUAUAUAUUUGACGAGUCACACUCCUCGGCAUUGGAAUGCAAAGUGGGUGGUAAAUUCCAUGUAAAGGAAAAUAUAUUAUUGAGACUGAUAGCAAACAAGUACCAUGAGGGAAAUAUGAAAAGGACUUUGAAAAGAGAAUUAAAAGAGUCUGCAUUUGCUGAACAGAAAGCAAACAGAAUUGAUCUACUUGGUGAGAUUGUUACGUCCACUUGUGGGCGCAAUGGUUCUUGCCUUGAAUGUCAGCGUCUAUUUCUGCAAAUCAUUACCCUUGCACAUGAAUGGUAAUUUGCCUGUGGGUAUUGGAAUGCAUGUGUUUGCAAUGAUUUGUGAUUUGAUACAUUUGCCUGGUGUUCUUGUGUGUGCCCUCUUGCCAAGAGGGGAGGGCUCUCUUCCCUGGGCACUGCAAGCCCUUGCACAUUGUUGCUGGCAAAAUGUUUCUGCUUGACCCGUCUUGAAACACGGACCAAGGAGUCUAACAGAUGUGCAAGUUCGUGGGUGGGCAAACCUUUUUGCGCAAUGAAAGUAUUGGCUGGGAUACUUGCACCAGCAGCCGACCGAUUAGCAGACAGAGGUUUGAGUUUGAGCAUAUCCAUUAGGACCCGAAAGAUGGUGAACUAUGCCUGAACAGAACGAAUUCAGAGGAAACUCUGAUGGAGGUUCGUAUCGAUACUGACGUGCAAAUCGUUCGUCAUACUUGGGUAUAGGGGCGAAAGACUAAUCGAACCAUCUAGUAGCUGGUUCCCUCCGAAGUUUCCCUCAGGAUAGCUGGAGUUGCACAGUUUUAUCAGGUAAAGCGAAUGAUUAGAGGAAUUGGGGACACGCUGUCCUUGACCUAUUCUCAAACUUUAAAUGGGUAAGAUGCAAUGGUUGCUUUAUUGAACUUUUGGAAUAAAUGGCAAUAUCAGGUGGGCCAUUUUUGGUAAGCAGAACUGGCGAUGAGGGAUGAACCUAACGUUGGGUUAAGGUGCUUAAUUGCUUGCUCAUUAGAUACCAGAAAGGGUGUUGGUUCAUUUUAACAGCAGGACGGUGGUCAUGGAAGUCGAAAUCCGCUAAGGAGUGUGUAACAACUCACCUGCCGAAUGGACUAGCCCCGAAAAUGGAUGGCGCUCAAGCGGGUGACCGAUACCCAACCACUGUUGCAAAAAAUAUCAGUGUGUAGGAAGGCAUGGCGGUUUGUGAUGCAGCCUUUGGUGAAAACCUGGGUGAAACAGCUCCUAGUGCAGAUCUUGGUGGUAGUAGC